CCUACGGGAGGCAGCAGUAGGGAAUAUUGCUCAAUGGGGGAAACCCUGAUGCAGCAACGCCGCGUGGAGGAUGAAGGUUUUCGGAUUGUAAACUCCUUUUGUUAGAGAAGAUAAUGACGGUAUCUAACGAAUAAGCACCGGCCAACUCCGUGCCAGCAGCCGCGGUUAUAAGAGGGGUGAAAGCGUUACUCGGAAUCACUGGGCGUAAAGAGGGCGUAGGCGGGAUAGCAAGUCAGAUGUGAAAUCCUAUGGGUUAACCAUAGAACUGCAUUUGAAACUAUUAUUCUAGAGUAUGGGAGAGGUAAGUGGAAUUCUUGGUGUAGGGGUAAAAUCCGUAGAGAUCAAGAGGAAUACUCAUUGCGAAGGCGACCUGCUAGAACAUAACUGACGCUGAUGCGCGAAAGCGUGGGGAGCAAACAGGAUUAGUUACCCGAGUAGUC
rnacentral:rRNA from 1 species